rnacentral:lncRNA from 1 species
GCAGGAUAUGAAGACACGGCCCGCACACCCACACCCCGCCCCGUGCCCACACCUCUCUCUCUCUCUCUCCACUGACGGCAACUCUGGCAUCCACCCCGCGCCUGCGCUCGCACCCCCAUCGCCUCCCCCACACUCAGACAUGGCGGCGGCAGCAGAUCGCUUUGGCGGCGGCAGAUCCGUUGGAUCCAACGGUGAUGAGGCCAGGUAGGCCUCCUCCUCUCUCUCCUCCUAGAUCAGGCUAGGGUUCCGACGAGCCCUUCUAUUUCUUCUCCAAUCCUGGUGGGGUGUAGAAUGACUAGCCUAAGGGAGGCAGGUAGGCCGAGCAAUGAGGAUACGCUUGAUCGACGACUUAGGGGAGUUAACGACAGCAGAGGCAAUCAACUCUCUCUUGGCAACUCCGGUGUCCACCUCGCGCCUGCGCCCGCACCCCCAUCGCCUCCCUCACACUAAGACAUGGCGGCAGCGACAGAUCUGUCGGCUUCGGCGGUGGCAGAUCCACUGGAUCUAACGGUGACGAGGCCAGGUAGGCCUCCUCUUCUCUCCUCCUAGAUUAUGCUAGGGUUCGGACGAGCUCUUCCCUUUCUUCUCCAACCUCGGUGGGGUGUAGAAUGACUAGCCUAAGGGAGGAAGGUAGCCGAGCAAUGGGGAUGCUUGAACGGCGGCUUAAGGGAGUUAACGACUGCAAAGGCAAUCAAAUCAGGACGAAGAAGGCUCACCAAGGCUAGAGAAGAUGACAACAGACAAGCUUGCUCAAGCUGAAGAAGAUGGUGGCAGUGGGGAAGAGGGGAAGGGAAAAGGGCAGCCGCCAUGGGUAGAGGGGUGGCCGGCGAACCCUAGAUCUGGUCAGUUUUUUUUUCUUUUUUGGCAACCAAAACAAUUCUUUUCCCAAAUUAGUUUGCAGCCGAAAAUUGCGUUUCCUGCACGCGCACGCCCAUGUAAAGUCCAUACUCUUGAUAUAUAGCCGCUCAAAAAAAUCUUUACAAACCAACCUCAGUUUUACAUGUUGAGAAAUGAGAAUGAGAACCAUGUUCGAUACGCGCGCGGCAGUAACUAGUCAUACAAAAAGUCAGCGAACUUUCCUAUGCACCAGACGAGUUCAACUUUAGCAUGCGAACCUCCCAUGCAUCUAUGCUAUGUAACUCAUCUAAUAACCAAAAUAAACAAACCUACAACAUUCUCUAUCUACCUUCUACUCUCUUACCCUUUUAGCAGUUCAGCCUCUCGUCUUUCAAAAAGUAUUUCAGUUUCUUUGGCAGUGGCGAGUGGCAAUCAGUGCCUUCCAUGUGCCGUUUUGCAGGGUUGCUGCGGCUGUGAUUCAUCAAAUCAUCCUUGGGUGGAGCCAACUUUUCAGCUUCAAUGUCAUACCUGACGACGUUUGUUACAAUUCCAUGAAUAGAUGUCUCAGCUCUUGGCAGGAUCUCUCUUUCCAGAACUUCUUGUUGCCCACCGCAAGUCUCAUGCUCGGCAGCAGACUGCAACUCCUUUAGGACUAGAGCUCUAUCUCUGACGAAACUGUCUUUUUGCUUCUGCAUUGAUAAGAUUUCUCAUUAAAUAUAUGUGAUGUAAAACAACAGAUCGACAUGGUGAUAAUCAACACCUUCAAAAGAGUCACAAAGAACGAAUCUAGAAGGUAAACCGAAGAAGGUACCAUACUAUCAAGGAUGGAAGGAAUAACAGAAUUGCUACCCACAUAAGUUGCCAUUCAUAUAUGACAAAUGCAUGGCACACUACAAGUCCACCAUAGUUUGCACAUGUGCCAGAAUAACUAAGAUAUGUAAUCCACAUGAAAGCGCCCAGUCUAUUUUACUUCGUCUAUUCUUAUGCAAUGCAAGUUGGGUCAUUAAAUUUGCACUACAAUACAGUUAUUUGUUUUGCUGUGUAGUCUACAUACUGGUCCUUCCAAUCCGGACAGGGGUUUCACUAGCCGCACAGGAACUUAGGCACUUUAGGUUUAUCAAAUGAAAUAAUGGUGCCAGCACAUAUAUAAGAUGUCAAAGCGCGCACACAUCGUCAACGGCAAGCACUUGGGGUACCUAGAUUUCCAGUUAAUGCUAGUAAGCAGAAACCUUGGGUACCUAGGUUGUCCACUGAAAGUCAGCUUCUAUGAGCUAUACAAACUCUGCACCAAUCCUGAAAUCUCCAUUGAGGAUGCCUUAGAGGGUGGUAGGGUUCACUUGCAGAAUACUGGAAGAACUGAUUGAGAGGUCAUGUACGGUUCAGCUUGCAGAUGGGCAAGAUAAAGUAGUAUGGGCCUUAGAAAGAUAAGGCAAUUUCUCAAUGAGAUCUUUGUACAGGGCUUUAAAGUUUGGAGGAGCUAUUGAUCAGCAGAUGGUAGAAAUAUGGAAAAGUAAAGUGCCUAAAAAAAUCUUUGAAUGGCUGCCCACAAUAGAUUUCAAUCAGCACAACAACUUAAGAAGUGGAAAGGGGAAAUACUGUGCAAACUGUGUGGCAAGGAGGGAACCAACAGAUCAUAUCCUUUUUCCUUGUCCAAUAGCUAUAUUUGUUUGGUCCUUUUUAGCAGCUUCCUUUUAGUUUGAACCGUGUUCCUGUUAGUUAGUCUACUUUCUGGCAUCUCCGCAUCUGUUCAUAAUUAAUAGAAAUGCUUCUAGGCAUAUGAAUAUAUGAUCAAUCUUUUCUAUGGCAGCGACCUGAAUACAAGUUCCUGGAGUUUGGAGGCCCCUGCCGAGAACCAGAGCCCUCCCUCCGAGCUAAUACCCUAAGGACCUCCUGAACGUUUGGCCUCUUAUUAUAAAAAAGACACAGUGUUGGAUGCUUCCAAAUGUCCCAUGCCACCAAAAUUAUCAAGGAGUUGAGGCCUUUACGCGCUUCUUUGGGGAUAGCUGCAGUUGACCUCUUCCACCAAAGUUCAAGUGUUUAGCUAUGCUGGAGUUAGCUUUUGAGUUUCGUUGAUCCUCUUUUGUCUUUUCUAGCCUUUUUUGGUUGGCUGUCAGACUUCAGUCGAGGACUCACGGUGGAGGCUGAGUUGCUCAGCAAGCUUGCUGCAGCAGAGUGCUUGAACUGUAAACUGGUCUCCCCAGUCAUAAGACUAAGUUAAGCUUUCAAUAAAAGCUGGACCAUAAUGGCCUUGAGUCUUAAUAUACAUCAGAGGGCCACACAGCAACAACUGAACAGAAAGGAACUUCAGG